rnacentral:lncRNA from 1 species
AGAGCUUUGGCGCAGGCCGCCUGCGCGCUGUGCCAGGAAAGCGCUUGGAGAAAAUGUCCGGCCCCGCGACCUGGGACAGGAAGUGAUGGAGCACGGACUUAGUUUGCCUUUCAGUUCUUGUAUAAAUAGUUUUGAGGGUUGUCUCUGAAUUUUCACUCAGUUGUCUACCAAGAUGUUGAAUGGACCCAGAGCCAAGGACGUGGUCUUUUAUCAGUGGCACCUGAGACUUUCUUCCCUGUGGACGCAAAUCCAUUAUUCAGCACUCUGGGCACAGCUACAGAUCUGAUCAGCUAUCCAUUCUCCAAACUAUCUCAUCCUCUGUCCCAUUUUUCUGUCUCUCUUGUCCACAAGGCAUAUACCUGAGAGUUUUCAAAUUCCUCAGAGAAAUUUAGAUAUUCUGUGGCUUUGGCAUUCACCUAAUGUGUUAAUCUACAAACCUUUUUUACAGUGUGGAUUUUUUUUCAUGAUGUGAAUUCAAGUGGUUUCUAAUGGUCUCUUCAUAAAGUUGUAAACCAAAAGUAAAAUUCUAAGGCCCCACCCCAUCUGAAUGGACCCCUUCUCUGGGCCAGGGCACUCCAAAUUAACCUGAAAACCGUUCAGGCCACGACAUGAAGUGGGGGCGGGUGGGACAUGGCUGACUAUGCCCUCCUCCCUUUUGGAAUUCAGGGAAAGCCAACACAGACCUUAAGUCUAAUGAGAAACACCAUCUAUUCUCUCUGAAGCCUGCUACCCCAAGGCUUCUUCUGCUGAUAAAACUUUGGUCUCCACAACCUCUUAUAACCCAGACAUUCCUUUCUAUUGGUAAUAACUCUCAACUAAUUGCCAAUCAGAACAUUUUUAAAUCUACCUAUAACCCAGAAGCCCCCACUUUGAGUUGUCCUGCCUUUCUGGACUGAACCAAUGUAUAUCUUGAAUAGAUUUGAUUGAUGUCUCACGACCCUCUAAAAUGCAUAAAACCAAGUUGCACCCCAGCCACCUCCUGAGGUCUGUGUCAUGGGCGUGGCCACUCUAUUUGGCUCAGAAUAAAUCUCUUCAAGUAUUUCACAGAGGUUCAGCCUUUUCAUUGACAAAGUAUUCAUAUCACUUGUUGAAGAAUCCUUUCUAGAAUCUUCCACAGCUCUUUGAGCUGUAGUUUCUGAAGUCCAUCUUUAUUCUCCCUCCCAUCACUGGCUCCUGUUUUGUUCUCCAGAACUCUGAAAAUACUAACAACUAUGAUUUUGUGACCCAAUUUGGAAGUUCUUACAGGGAAACCUCAGCAAGAAACAGCUCAGUGCUAGACGCAGUGGCUCAUGUCUAUAAUCCCAGUACUUUGGGAGGCUGAGGUGGGAGGAUCACUUGAGGCCAGAACUUCAAGACUAGCUUGGGCUAUUUUAAAAUUUUUUAAAAGGGGGAGCAUCUCAGUGACUGCAGCAGGCCUCAGCCUCCACUCCCAACAGUUAGUUGGGCUCUACCAACUGUUGGCCGAGUCUCCAACCUGGAGUACCACAGCCAUCAUCACCCAUGGCACCCAGGAGUGCUCCGUCAUGCUUUCCCUUUAGUUCUAGGGGUAGAAAAUGCCUUCAUUCAAGAGAGGACACACUUAAUGAAUGCAACCAGCUAGAAUCCACCCUUUUAAUAUUUAAAUAUAAUCCACCCUUAUAAUAUUUAAAUAUGUGGCUUUGUUUAAUCCUCCCCAUGCCAAGGCACCAUAUCCACAUUUUACUGAAGAGAAAACUAGAGUUCAGAGAAGGUAACUUGCCUAAAGCCAAGCAGGCAGUAAGAGGAGAUUCAAGCCCAGAUCCUUUUGUGCUUUUUCUGCAUCAUCUCAGGGGCAGCAAGGCUGACUCUUGAAAGGGAGGUUAAUUACUAUGAAAUUAAGGUUUAAAGAAAAAACACCCUGGCCAGGCGCGGUGGCUCACAGCUGUAAUUCCAGCACUUUGGGAGGCUGAGGCGGGUGGAUCAAGACCAUCCUGGCUAACAUGGUGAAACCUCGUCUCUACUAAAAAUACAAAAAAUUAGCCAGACGUGGUGGCAGGUGCCUGUAAUCCCAGCUACUUGGGAGGCUGAGGCAGGAGAAUGGCGUGAACCCGGGAGGCGGAGCUUGCAGUGAGCCGAGAUUGCACCAGGCACUCCAGCCUGGGCAACAGAGUGAGACUCCGUCUCAAAAAAAAAAAAAGAAAGAAAAAACACCCUGCGUGCAUACUCAUAUGAAUGUACAAAUGGAUGAGUCUAGAACAAGAGAUACUAGCCUGUUACAUACACAAACUAUGCAGCUGCAGUCCCUGCUGCUUCUACAACCCUGACCUCUAAGAAACCUCUAGCUCUGAAUCCUGUCAGUACCUGGGCUGUGCUGCUUGGGACAACAUUGUCUUCACAAGUCCUCUCCACAUUCUCAGAGGUGGGGGUAUUGCCAAUGAUGGGGGUUGCUGCCUGAGUCCCGUCACCAGGGGACAAAGCUACAGCAGAGACCACCAUCUGCCAACAAAAAGAGAGAUCAUCUCCCACCCCUGGUUCUGCUGACCCAAUCACUGGAAGCAUCAAGGCACCACUAUCUCCUCAUCUGCCUCAGAUUCAAUUUCCUCCUAGCCAGGUCUGUUCUAAGCUCUCCAGAAGUUGAGAAAUUAACUGAAAGAUAACACUUUCCUCCCUGCAUUAAGGUUCAUCACAUAAUGUAUCCAAAUACUGGGUCAGUCUUUCCUUUGGUCUCGUUUCUCUCAGCUAAUUUGAAAAUGCCUUUUCUGUUUUCAUUAGAAUUUUUCUAAAUGUUUCUGGGCACUUGUGUUCCUGAGGCUUUCCAUAGUGCACCCUCUUAUGCAUCUGAUGUCUUUGGCACAUAUAGGCCCUCAACAAGUAUUUGUUAAAUGAACAGAUAACCAUCCUGUCCUUUGUGUGAACAAGCAUAUGCAAGUGUACAUUGUAUCUGUACAUGUAUCCAACAGCAUCCAUCUGAAGCCACUUUGUUCGCUUAUUUUCUCAGGAUGACUGAUGGCUGCAUCAUGACAUUUGCACACAGAAUCUUUUCUUCUCCAGUCACUUUUCCUUUUUCCAGAUUCCCGCCAUAGAAUUCCAGGGACAGAGCCAACCAUGCCUGGCACCCCCUCCUGUCCUGGGACAAUGAUACUUUCUCCCGUGACUCCCAUCUUCCUUCCAACAUUCUUCUGCUAGAAUUCAGUAAGGAAGACAAUGACUUACCACUUUUAAUUUUUUCCCCUUUUUUGCUUUUCUACCAAAUACUGCUUUUAACACAGGCUUUUCACUGAGUAGUGGACAAUCUAUCAGCUAGGUGCUAUUCAGUGUGAGGGGCAUUUGCAAAGGUCUGCAUCAGUGCUGGCUGAUGGAACUUUCUAGUGAUAGCAUCAUUCUGUAGCUGCACUGUCCAGUGCAGAGGCUACUUGCCACUGUGGCUACUGCUCAGGAUGGUGCAGGUCUGAAUAUCUUAGACACAGCGGCCACCGUGUCUACUGCACGGGACUGAAUAUUUUAGACACAGCGGCCACCGUGUCUACUGCACGGGACGGCGAGGGUCUGAAUAUCUUACAGACAGCGGCCACCGUGUCUACUGCACGGGACGGCGAGGGUCUGAAUAUCUCAGACACAGCGGCCACGGUGUCUACUGCACGGGACGGUGCAGGUCUGACUGUCUUAGACACAGCUCACCUUUGAUCCGUGUUAGGAAUUAUCCACAUCUCCUCUCUGGGCAAUAUUCUACUUUCUUUUUAUAUUGACCCAAUUAUUUUACUUCUUUGGUGUGUCCUUUCUCCUCACACACAUGGGUUCACUUUAAAACCUUGAAACCCACAUUUAUAAAACAUUUUCAAUAUGAAACAUCGUUCCAUGACUCAUAUAGUACUCCAUGGAGUACUAUAAACAUUUACAUUUCCAGACCACCCACUGCCCAGUGGUUUUCCUGGUCUCAGUACUCAUGAAAAUGGUCUGAAGGUUUGUUUUGGGUUCCUAAGCAGUAGACACACACACAACACUGCCUGUCAGUUAUUUCUUGGAAACUAAAUCAGCCCUUCUGUUGCCAUCCUAUCAUGCUUCAGGGGUGCCUGUGCUAGUUUUUAAUUCUUUGUCCUAACACUUAAAUGUUUGCUCAAACGCCCAUAUUAAUACUUCCUCUUAGUUUACAAAAGGAUUUACUUUCUUACUGGUUGGGAUGAAGCUGCCUGAGGUUGCCACCUGUUACUUUUCCUUCAUUUAUUGGACCAAGUCAUCCCAUUACAUGUCAGCUGUGGAGGUUUUCAAACUGUGGUCCCUGGACAUGUUAGAAAUGCAAAUUCUCAGGCCGAACCAGGACUGAACCGGAAGAUCUGGGGUAGGGUCCCUCCAGGACUGAAUCGGAAGGUCUGGGGUGGGGUUCCCCCAGGACUGAAUCGGAAGAUCUGGGGUAGGGUCCCCCCAGGACUGAAUCGGAAGAUCUGGGGUAGGGUUCCCCCAGGACUGAAUCGGAAGGUCUCGGGUAGGGUCCCUCCAGGUGAUCCUGUUACACAGGUUAGAGAACCACAGCAUUGGGGUGGCAAUUUGACAACUCUUUUUUUUUUUUUGAGACAGAAUCUCGCUCUUGUUGCCCAGGCUGGAGUGCAAUGGCGCACUCUUGGCUCACUGCAACCUCCGCCUCCCGGGUUCAAGCAACUCUCCUGCCUCAGCCUCCUGAGUAACUGGGAUUACAUGCACCCACCAUCAUGCCUGGCUAAUGUUUUGUAUUUUUAGAGAUGGGGUUUCACUAUGUUGGCCAGGCUGGGACAAUUCUUAAACUGUCAUUCUUUACUCACUUAUUUGCAGGAAUUCUUCUGUAAAGAACUUUUCCUAAUCAGCAAGGUUUCCCUGAUUGCAAUUUGUAGACAGAAGGUGGGAUAAUCGCUGAUCUUCCCUCAAGUGUCCACUCCCAGUGUUAGGAGUUAGUGCCCUAGGUACCUCCAAGAGUGACCAAUUACAUGUGUUUGGUUGGUUGGUUUUGGCUUUGAAACCAUCACUAUGAAUUCAUGGUUUUCAUGUAUUAGAGACCAAGUCUAGGUGCUUCAUGUGCCUACUGCUCCUGGGGCAGAGCUAGGAAAUGUGUCUAUGUGAAAGGAACAACAGAGUUAAUGCUUAUAUUUCUAUUUCAAAUUUAGUAUAUGGUUUUACACCUUUUUCUCAGAAAAAUCUUUUUUUAUUUUUUGAGAUGGAGUUUUGUUCCUGUUGCCCAGGCUAGAGUGCAGUGGCACAAUCUAGGCUCACUGCAACCUCCGCCUCCUGGUUCAAGAGAUUCUCCUGCCUCAGCCUCCUGAAUAGCUGGGAUUACAGGCACCUGCCACCAUGCCCAGCUAAUUUUUGAAUUUUAGUAGAGAUGGGGUUUCACCAUGUUGGCAAGGCUGGUCUUAAACUCCUGGCCUCAGGUGAUCUGUCCACCUCGGCCUCCCAAAGUGCUGGGAUUACAGGUGUGAGCCACCGCACCUGGCCAGAAAAAUCUUAGUUUUAGCAUUAACAUAAUUAGUUAUAGUUUUAACUCCCACCCCAGAUAAUUUCAAAGGCUUAAUACCAAUAAGACAAGUAACAAGGAGAUGAUUGAUUGAAAUUUAGGAUUUCAGUGGCUCUAUUUGUCUUUAAACUAUGGCUCACUAAAUCUGCAUACUUGAAGUGCUGCGUUCUGGCGAUGCUCUGAUGACACACGAAGUAAUAGGCUGUGUGACUGUCACCAGCCUGAUGUGCAGUUGGGCUGCAGAACCCUGUGAUGCUGCCUAGCCCAGCCAGCCCCAGGUCACUCCUCAGACUCAAACUUGAUUCUGACACCACCAGCACCCGGGAUGCUGCCUAGGGGCUUUCUCUGGUGGCAGGAGCAUGUCCUGGAUUAGGCCGGGGUGCCCGGAAUUGACCAUCCUGACCCUGUGGAGCGUGGGCUGGUGAAGGAAUGCACCAGCUCCCACAAUGAGCACGGGCCCAGCUGCCCACGUGGGAUCCGGCUCCCAGACACCCUGUGCCCUCACCUCUUUCCUGUCUUACCUCCCGCUUCCCUUCAGCUGCUGCUCAGGGCCACCUUCCAAAUUUUGGUCUCAGGGUUGGCACCUGCAGAAGACAAUCCAAGGAAUUUAGAUUCAUUCAUUUCAGAUACUAUUCUUUCAAUUUUAGGGACUAUCUUAAAACUUAGUUUGGUAAUAUGUAAAACACUUAUAAUUUCAAAGUCCAGAUAUUACUUCAGAGUCUAUUUCAGUCUCACUUCCACCAUUGACCCCUGUCCUCCACAGCAACCACUUUAGUUUUUUAUCUUUGUACUGUUUUAAGAAAAAGCAAAUAUAUAUUUGCAUUAUAUGAUAUGUACUCUGCCCCUUAUCAAUAGGUCUUCCUCAUCCCUCCUUCUGGUACUGAGUUCCCCACUGUACGAAUUAAUGUUCCUAAUCCCCUACUGAUGGACAUUUUGAUUGUUUCCAGUUUUACAAAUGCCACAGUGAAGAACUUGGUUGCAAACAUAUUUAGGCGUGAAAAGAACUCUGUGAGUAAAGUCCUUUCAUUUUUUUGCCAGAGUUUUUUUUGAGGCAGUCUAGAAUUGCUGAGUCAAAGGGCAAAUGCCACAUACUUUUGUUAGAUGCUGCCAAAUCCUCUUCCAUGAGGUUGCAAUGUUCUGCAUUCCACAGUGACGUAUGAGAGUCCUUGUAUCCCACAGCUUCAUAAACAAAGCAUGAUGUCAAACCUGCACAUUUACCAAUCACACAGGUGAGAAAUUUUAUCCUAGUUUCACCUUUGUUUUUGGUUCGCAUUUUUAUGACCAGCUUUUUUAUGGUGUAAUGCACAGAAGAUAAUGAACACACUCUACCCACAAGCUUCUUCCUGUGCCUUUGGAAUCUGCUCCUGCCAGUCUGCAGGGAACCACGGAUCUGCUUUCCGUCACGUAGGAGGCAUUCUCGACACCCUCUGUACACAGUAUGCACUUUUAAAAUUUGGCUUCUCUUACACAGCAUAGUGACUUUCAGAUUUAUUCAAGCUGCUGCGUGCACCAAUAGUCCGCUCCUUCCUAGUGCUGAGGCCCCCAUCACAUGAGCACAACUGUUUCCUGUGUGUGAUGUGUUGUUCUCUGGCUGUGCACUGCCAAAAAAGACAUCAUUAAAAAAAAAAUCUAAAUAUAAUGUAAAACCUGCCUUGUCUUAGGAAAAGUUUUUCUGGCAGUGGCUCACACCUAUAAUCCCAAUACUCUGGGAGGCUGAGGCAGGAGGACUGCUUGAGCCCAGGAGUUUGAGACCAGCCUGGGCAAGAUGGUGAAACCCUGUCUCUGUAAAAAAUAUAAAAAUUAGCCAGGCAUGGUGGCUCACACCUGUAGUCUCAGCUCCUUGGGAGGCUGAGGUGGGAGGAUUGCUGGAGCCCCGGAGGUGGAGGUUGCAGUGAGCCGAGAUCACAGCACUGCACUCCAGCCUGGGCAGCAUGGCAAGACUCUGUCUCUACCAAGAAAAAAAACAAAAAAUUAAUAUAAGGAAAAACAAAAGGUUUUUCUUACCAAAAAUACACUUUAAGGAACAAAUUUAUCAUAUUAAGUUGGUGCAAAAGUAAUCGUGGCUUUUACCAUUGAAAGUAAUGGCAAAAACUGCAAUUACUUUUGCACCAACCUAAUAUUACUUUCUAAUGACAAACUUGGAAAUAAUUGUCAUUGUUCUCUAAAAAGAACAGCCUAAAAAUAAAGCAGCAGCCCAUUUACUUCUAUGCCAGUUCUUUUAGUAUUUGGUUAUUUAAACUGGUGGUCCCUAACCUUGUUGGCACCAGGGACUGGUUUCAUGGAAGACACUUUUUCCACGGACAAGUGUGGGGAUGGUGGGGAUGGUUUGGAGAUGAAACGGUUCCAUCUCAGAUCAUCAGCAUUAGAUUUUCAUAAGCGGCGCAUAACCUAGAUCCUUCGCAUGUGCAGUUCACAACAGGGUUCCACUCCUAUGAGAAUCUAAUGCCACCACUGAUCUGGCAGGAGGCGGAGCUCGCCCAGUAAUGAUAUGACAGGGGGCGGAUCUCACACAGUAAUGCUUGGACAGGAGGCGGAGCUCACACGGUAAUGCUCUGCCGGGAGGCGGAGCUCACACGGUAAUGCUCUGACGGGAGGCGGAGCUCACACGGUAAUGCUCUGUCGGGAGGCGGAGCUCACACGGUAAUGCUGUGACGGGAGGCGGAGCUCACACGGUAAUGCUCUGUCGGGAGGCGGAGCUCACACGGUAAUGCUCUGGCGGGAGGCGGAGCUCACACGGUAAUGCUCUGACGGGAGGCGGAGCUCACACGGUAAUGCUCUGCCGGGAGGCGGAGCUCACACGGUAAUGCUGUGACGGGAGGCGGAGCUCACACGGUAAUGCUGUGACGGGAGGCGGAGCUCACACGGUAAUGCUGUGACGGGAGGCGGAGCUCACACGGUAAUGCUGUGACGGGAGGCGGAGCUCACACGGUAAUGCUGUGACGGGAGGCGGAGCUCACACGGUAAUGCUGUGACGGGAGGCGGAGCUCACACGGUAAUGCUGUGACGGGAGGCGGAGCUCACACGGUAAUGCUCUGACGGGAGGCGGAGCUCACACGGUAAUGCUCUGACGGGAGGGCGGAGCUCACACGGUAAUGCUCUGUCGGGGGGCGGAGCUCACACGGUAAUGCUCUGGCGGGGGGCGGAGCUCACACGGUAAUGCUCUGCCGGGAGGCGGAGCUCACACGGUAAUGCUCUGCCGGGAGGCGGAGCUCACACGGUAAUGCUGUGACGGGAGGCGGAGCUCACACGGUAAUGCUCUGUGGGGAGGCGGAGCUCACACGGUAAUGCUGUGACGGGAGGCGGAGCUCACACGGUAAUGCUCUGGCGGGAGGCGGAGCUCACACGGUAAUGCUCUGACGGGAGGCGGAGCUCACACGGUAAUGCUGUGACGGGAGGCGGAGCUCACACGGUAAUGCUCUGGCGGGAGGCGGAGCUCACACGGUAAUGCUCUGCCGGGAGGCGGAGCUCACACGGUAAUGCUCUGACGGGAGGCGGAGCUCACACGGUAAUGCUCUGCCGGGAGGCGGAGCUCACACGGUAAUGCUCUGCCGGGAGGCGGAGCUCACACGGUAAUGCUCUGCCGGGAGGCGGAGCUCACACGGUAAUGCUCUGCGGGGAGGCGGAGCUCACACGGUAAUGCUGUGACGGGAGGCGGAGCUCACACGGUAAUGCUGUGACGGGAGGCGGAGCUCACACGGUAAUGCUCUGACGGGAGGCGGAGCUCACACGGUAAUGCUGUGACGGGAGGCGGAGCUCACACGGUAAUGCUGUGACGGGAGGCGGAGCUCACACGGUAAUGCUGUGACGGGAGGCGGAGCUCACACGGUAAUGCUCGGACGGGAGGCGGAGCUCACACGGUAAUGCUCUGGCGGGAGGCGGAGCUCACACGGUAAUGCUCUGACGGGAGGCGGAG